CCUCCCCACCCCCCAAAAAAACCCCUCCUUCCCGUGCAUCCCUAGUCCUGGGUGACCUGCUCCAGGGGAGGUCAGAGGGUCCUUCCCAGGGGUGACCUGCUCCCUAUACACAAUGGACGAGCACCCCAUCCUAUUUGGGAGUCAGCCACUCCCAAGGGUCAUGAACCAUGUUUUCUCUGGAGAAUCCCCAACGCUGUCCUUCGGGGACCCGUCCGUAGAUGGUGAGUCCUUCCUGUUACCCUCCUGGAAGAAGUUGCUGCAUGUUCUAGUUUCCAGGGAUUUUUUUUCCCUCCGUCACUAACUGUUCUCUAAAGAGUUUUUACCAACCUAAUUUUGGGAGUUUGGGGGACACAGGGAUGCUCUACAACUGGGUCAAACCCCGAUCGUUUUUUAAUUUCAUUUUGAGGCCGAGUCUUGCUACGUUGCUUCGGGUUUCAGUGAGUUGCUGAGGCUGGCCUUCACCUCGGGAUCCUCCUGCCUCGACCUCCCGAGUUGUGGAAUCACGGGUGUGCACAGGCUCCCUGAUUGAAUUUGGGGGAUACCCACUUUCAAGGCCAAACCAGAAUGGGGAAGAAGGUCGAAAAUACCAGAAGAAACCGAAAGCAGAACAGGGCACCAAUUUUGGGAACUGUCUACACCUCCGUCCCACAAAUGGAAACUCCCAAGGAGCAUUGAUGCGUGCCCUGCCGCCAUCUUGUUCUGCUCCCCUUGGGCCAGAGCCAUGGAGUCGGCCACCAGGGACUGGACCUCGGACACCAGGAGCCCAGGUUUCCGGAAGAGAUGGCGUGAGGGCUUCAAAUGCAGACGUGACGGGAGGUGGACGUGCUGGAUUCAGAACAGAACAGAACGUUAGCAGCAUCAGGGGAGGAGAAAUGGAAUCCCCAGAUGACCGGCCGGAAUCCAGUGGACACACGCUUCAGAAUCCCCUCCCUCCCCUCGAGCAUGCGUUGCACAUCUCCGACGGUGGACAUUCAAUGAUGGCGCUGACCCUUCCACCAACUUCGUGUCCAUAAAACGAAGGUGACCCUGGGUGGCCUUGGACGAAUCCAAAGGAGACCUUGAUAAAGAAGAAAUGGUGGCGGCAUCCAGCAGAUUCUGGUUUCAGAGAGGAAAAGAAAGCACCGUGUUCCAUGAAGACCCAUGGAGGGAACCAUUGUUCCAUUACCUGAGGGCAGGUUCCAGAGAAUGAGAUCGACCCUGAGCCAGUGGCCAGUGAGAAGGACAGGACUCCAGCCCUGCACCCUCAGUAGACUGAGUUGCCCCAACGCCAUGACAACAUGAGUGUCCAAGAGGCUCAGCGGGUGGGUGAUCAUGGCGCCAUUUUGAGGAGAUCACUGGUGGCCGUGGGUGCUGGGGAGACCAUCAUGGCGCACACGGGCCAUUGUACGGUACUGCGAACCCACAGAACAUACAACAUCGGGAGGUCACUCCGCGGAGAGGUCGACUUUGGGUAAAUGGAGAUGCCAAUGUGGGUCCGUCCAUUGUAACAGGGAACAGGGGGAAGAUGUUGGUGAUGGAGGAGGCUGUGCUAUAGCAAGGGUUCGGGGGGUGUGGAUAGUCUCAGUACUUUCUACUCCAUUUGGAGGUGAACCUAAAAUUUUCCUU